UACAGAGACUGCAAGCGUUAUUCGGAUUCACUGGGCGUAAAGGGUGCGCAGGUGGGUUGGCAAGUUUGAUGUGAAAGCCCCGGGCUUAACCCGGGAAUGGCAUUGAAUACUGCUGAUCUGGAGGAUCGGAGGGGGGACUGGAAUUCUUGGUGUAGCAGUGAAAUGCGUAGAUAUCAAGAGGAACACCAGUGGCGAAGGCGAGUCCCUGGACGAUACCUGACACUGAGGCACGAAAGCCAAGGGAGCAAACAGG
rnacentral:rRNA from 1 species